rnacentral:rRNA from 1 species
AUCGAACGCUGGCGGCAGGCCUAACACAUGCAAGUCGAGCGGAGCGGCGGACGGGUGAGUAAUUCCUAGGAAUCUGCCUUGUAGUUGGGGAUAACGUCCGGUAACGGGCCCUAAUACCGCACACUAUCAGAUGAGCCUAGUUCGGAUUAGCUAGUUGGGGGGGUAAAGGCCUACCAAGGCGACGAUCCGUAACGGGUCUGCGAGGAUGAUCAGUCACACUGGGACUGAGACACGGUCCAGACUCCUACGGGAGGCAGCAGUGGGGAAUAUUGGGCAAUGGGCGAAAGCCUGAUCCAGCCAUGCCGCGUGUGUGAAGAAGGUCUUCGGAUUGUAAAGCACUUUAAGUUGGGAGGCGUUACCAUCAGAAUAAGCACCGGCUAACUUCGUGCCAGCAGCCGCGGUAAUAC